GCAAGUCGAACGAGAACUAGAUCUUUCGUAAGAAAGGUCUAGGGACAGUGGCGAACGGGUGCGUAACACGUGAGAAACCUGCCCUGGAGAUUGGGAUAGCCCGAGGAAACUCGGAUUAAUACCAAAUAUGCUCACAGGACCACAUGGUCCGGUGAGGAAACAGUCCGCUGCUCCAGGAUGGUCUCGCGGCCUAUCAGCUUGUUGGUGAGGUAAUGGCUCACCAAGGCUCCGACGGGUAGCUGGUCUGAGAGGACGAUC
rnacentral:rRNA from 1 species